rnacentral:rRNA from 1 species
AUUGAACGCUGGCGGCAUGCCUUACACAUGCAAGUCGAACGGCAGCACGGGAGCAAUCCUGGUGGCGAGUGGCGAACGGGUGAGUAAUACAUCGGAACGUGCCCAAUCGUGGGGGAUAACGCAGCGAAAGCUGUGCUAAUACCGCAUACGAUCUACGGAUGAAAGCAGGGGAUCGCAAGACCUUGCGCGAAUGGAGCGGCCGAUGGCAGAUUAGGUAGUUGGUGAGGUAAAGGCUCACCAAGCCGUCGAUCUGUAGCUGGUCUGAGGGGACGACCAGCCACACUGGGACUGAGACACGGCCCAGACUCCUACGGGAGGCAGCAGUGGGGAAUUUUGGACAAUGGGCGAAAGCCUGAUCCAGCCAUGCCGCGUGCAGGAUGAAGGCCUUCGGGUUGUAAACUGCUUUUGUACGGAACGAAACGGCCUUUUCUAAUAAAGAGGGCUAAUGACGGUACCGUAAGAAUAAGCACCGGCUAACUACGUGCCAGCAGCCGCGGUAAUACGUAGGGUGCAAGCGUUAAUCGGAAUUACUGGGCGUAAAGCGUGCGCAGGCGGUUCUGUAAGACAGUUGUGAAAUCCCCGGGCUCAACCUGGGAACUGCAUCUGUGACUGCAUAGCUAGAGUACGGUAGAGGGGGAUGGACUUCCGCGUGUAGCAGUGAAAUGCGUAGAUAUGCGGAGGAACACCGAUGGCGAAGGCAAUCCCCUGGACCUGUACUGACGCUCAUGCACGAAAGCGUGGGGAGCAAACAGG